rnacentral:rRNA from 1 species
GACGAACGCUGGCGGCGUGCCUAAUACAUGCCAGUCGAGCGGACGAAUCGAAAGCUUGCUUUUGAUUCGUUAGCGGCGGACGGGUGAGUAACACGUGGGCAACCUGCCCUGUAGACGGGGAUAACACCGAGAAAUCGGUGCUAAUACCGGAUAACACGAAAUGUCGCAUGACGUUUCGUUGAAAGGCGGCGCAAGCUGUCGCUACAGGAUGGGCCCGCGGCGCAUUAGCUAGUUGGUGAGGUAACGGCUCACCAAGGCGACGAUGCGUAGCCGACCUGAGAGGGUGAUCGGCCACACUGGGACUGAGACACGGCCCAGACUCCUACGGGAGGCAGCAGUAGGGAAUCUUCCGCAAUGGACGAAAGUCUGACGGAGCAACGCCGCGUGAGCGAAGAAGGCCUUCGGGUCGUAAAGCUCUGUUGUUAGGGAAGAACAAGUAACGCAGUAACUGGCGUUACCGUGACGGUACCUAACGAGAAAGCCACGGCUAACUACGUG